AAGAUCUUAAGUUAAAUUAAACUAUUAGCCUUCAAAGCUGAAAAUAAAACUCACGUUUUAGGCCUUA
rnacentral:tRNA from 1 species